UACGAAGGGGGCUAGCGUUGUUCGGAAUCACUGGGCAUAAAGGGCGCGUAGGCGGCUUUAUAAGUCGGGGGUGAAAGCCUGUGGCUCAACCACAGAAUUGCCUUCGAUACUGUAGAGCUUGAGACCGGAAGAGGUAAGUGGAACUGCGAGUGUAGAGGUGAAAUUCGUAGAUAUUCGCAAGAACACCAGUGGCGAAGGCGGCUUACUGGUCCGGUUCUGACGCUGAGGCGCGAAAGCGUGGGGAGCAAACAGG
rnacentral:rRNA from 1 species